rnacentral:rRNA from 1 species
UACGUAGGGGGCAAGCGUUGUCCGGAAUCAUUGGGCGUAAAGAGCGCGUAGGCGGCCCUGUAAGUCUGCUGUGAAAGUCCAGGGCUCAACCCUGGGAUGCCGGUGGAUACUGCUGGACUAGAGUGCGGAAGAGGCGAGUGGAAUUCCCGGUGUAGAGGUGAAAUUCGUAGAUAUCGGGAGGAACACCAGUGGCGAAGGCGGAGACCUGGGCCGAUACUGACGCUGAGGAGCGAAAGCGUGGGGAGCGAACAGG